rnacentral:rRNA from 1 species
GACGUAGGGCGCGAGCGUUUGUCCGGAUUUAUUGGGCGUAAAGAGCUCGUAGGCGGCUUGUCGCGUCGUCUGUGAAAUCCCGCGGCUCAACCGCGGGUCUGCAGUCGAUACGGGCAGGCUAGAGUUCGGUAGGGGAGACUGGAAUUCCUGGUGUAGCGGUGAAAUGCGCAGAUAUCAGGAGGAACACCGGUGGCGAAGGCGGGUCUCUGGGCCGAUACUGACGCUGAGGAGCGAAAGCGUGGGGAGCGAACAGG